rnacentral:rRNA from 1 species
ACGAACGCUGGCGGCGUGCUUAACACAUGCAAGUCGAACGGAAAGGCCCUGCUUUUGUGGGGUGCUCGAGUGGCGAACGGGUGAGUAACACGUGAGUAACCUGCCCUUGACUUUGGGAUAACUUCAGGAAACAGGGGCUAAUACCGGAUAGGAGCUCCUGCUGCAUGGUGGGGGUUGGAAAGUUUCGGCGGUUGGGGAUGGACUCGCGGCUUAUCAGCUUGUUGGUGGGGUAGUGGCUUACCAAGGCUUUGACGGGUAGCCGGCCUGAGAGGGUGACCGGCCACAUUGGGACUGAGAUACGGCCCAGACUCCUACGGGAGGCAGCAGUGGGGAAUAUUGCACAAUGGGCGGAAGCCUGAUGCAGCAACGCCGCGUGCGGGAUGACGGCCUUCGGGUUGUAAACCGCUUUCGCCUGUGACGAAGCGUGAGUGACGGUAAUGGGUAAAGAAGCACCGGCGAACUACGU